rfam:Lepisosteus oculatus linkage group LG12, whole genome shotgun sequence.
GCCAGCAGCCAUAUCACCCUCCAACUCCCAAUUGGCAACCCAAAGAAGCUAAGCAGGUGUGAGUCUGGUCAGUACCUGGAUGGGUGACCUCCUGGGAAGAUCUAAGGUUGCUGCUGUAA